rnacentral:rRNA from 1 species
AUACGGAGGGUGCAAGCGUUAUCCGGAAUCAUUGGGUUUAAAGGGUCCGCAGGCGGAUUAAUAAGCCAGUGGUGAAAUCCUCUCGCUCAACGAGAGAACUGCCAUUGAAACUGUUAGUCUUGAAUUCGGUCGAAGUAGGCGGAAUGUGUCAUGUAGCGGUGAAAUGCAUAGAUAUGACACAGAACACCGAUAGCGAAGGCAGCUUACUAGACCUGGAUUGACGCUCAUGGACGAAAGCGUGGGGAGCGAACAGGAUUAGAAACCCUAGUAGUCC